CGUGCAAAGCUGCCAAAAGUGAAUGCAUCCACACCAGCCAGCACAGCACUGGAGACUCCCGUGAGCAUGUUCACCACUGCGAUGACCCCAAUUAACAGUUUAAUGGGGGAAAUGUACAGAGGAGAUCUGAAAACUGUUGAAGUCACCAAAGCAUUACAAGAUGCCAAGAGAUAGUGGUCAAAAACAGCCUGAUAACACACAGUGCCCAUGUGCAUGCUCCACUAUCUCAAGCCACUGUCACCCUGGAUCUUCUGCAGCACUAGCUGGGUGAGUACACCAGGUGCUCCUGUUCCAGGGUAUUGAUGGAGAAAUGAGAAUGGAGAAUUUUGAUCACUUGAUUGAAGUCCCUAAGAUACAGCUGUGUUGGCGCCAGGUAAAAAGCCAGAUCUCCUGGACUUUUCAUUACAUAACUUUUCAGAAUAUUUCCACAAGUUUCCAUAGGCAGACAAGGAGAAUCCCAGGGGAAUACUCCAUAAUAUUAUGAACGUGCGUUUCAUGAAAAUAUCAUCUUAGUUUUAGAUUAAAAUUUGAGGUUAGGGAGCAAGGAACAAUCUAUUCAUUAAAAAUAAAAUAUCAACUCUUCCUAGUUGUCUUUUUUCAACUGGCUCAUCCUGUUUUUUGGAAUGGGACAAACUAUUAAGUGAAUUCAACUUCACUUUCCUCCCCUCCCUUCCCAUCUCUUCCCCUCCCCUUCCUCUUUCCUUUCCUUUCUUCCCUUCCCCCCUCCUCCUCCUCCUCCUUCUCCUUCCUUCCUUCCUUCCUUCCUUUCUAUCUGUACAAACUAUUAUUUGCUUUUACCAAAUAGUUAUUUAUAAGAAAAACCUAAGUCACUUUCAAAAGUCGGUGAUUACACAAAACAAGAUUAUAGCAUACUAUUUCAGGGUAAAUUGCUAAUAUCAUUUUAAAAAUUACAUAUACCUCUAACAGCAUACUUGAUUCUUUAGUUUACAUUAAGUUAAAUUAAAAGUCCUCCCACCUCAAUCCUAUUGGCAAGUGAAAACUCCAGGGAAUGAACAUUUGUAUUUGACAGGCCACUAUGGGGAGGGUUACUGAUGAGCUGCAUAGCUGGCACAGAUUUGGCUUUUAAAGUAUAGCUGCAUUGUUUUUCAUGGACUCAGAAUCAGUGGUGCAUACUGCUGUUAAGGAAGUUUUGAUGCCUUUCUCACCUGGGGAAGGUGAACACUGCACUGAAUGAAGGGCUUUCAGGUCUUCCUCAAAGUCAAGCAGGAAAUCUUCAAGGUCACGUUCAUCUGCAGGCACAAGAAGUCCUGGAAUGAUUAGUUCUGCCUGUCUUUUCAAGGGACCAAAUCCCAGAGUGGAGAGUCCUGGGUUAUUCUGGAGACAUGAACUGUCACAAAUUCCUUGUGCUCUAGCUUUCUUGCAAGUCCCUUAUAAAGUUGCCUUUGGAUGUUCGACUCAAGCUGCUGUGACAUACUAUUCUAGUACAACUGAGGAUGAGGGAGAGUGACCCAAGACUCCGGGUAUAACAUCUAAACUCUCCCAUUCUGCUCUUGUUCCCUGCAGCUCAUGAUGUUCCCACAUUGAAGAGCUAAAUUAGAGGAGGCUAUGGGCCUCUUCAUUCAGAGCAGAAACCACUUUAUCCAAAUUUCUAACACUACAAUAGCUAUAGUGCAAAUGUUCUAGGCUAUGUUCUCUGAACACCAGAGGGAGAAUCAGAUACAGUAAGUUUCAGUCUUCCCUGGGGAAUUCUGCAUAACGGAGGACAAAUCAAGUAACUACUUGGUGCUUGGUUUAGCUAUCCAUGAAAUAGGAGUUUUGUGAUCUAACAUAUUUCCCCAAAGACACAGAUUUAAUUGGUCUCAUGUGGGAAUUGGGGACCAAUAUUUUUUAAAAGUUGCUAUGUGAUUCUAAUAUGUGGUCCAGGGUUGAGAAUCACUGCUUUUGAAAAUAAACUCCAUGAAUGACCGUCUCUCUCUGUUGUUCAUUGUGUGCUUUCAAGGCCUAGAACAGUGCCUGGCACAAAGUAGGCUCUCUAAUAACUUUUUGCUUGUGUUUUUAUUUUUUGAGUGAACAUUUUUGAGAGACAUUAGAGUGGGUGAGGCAGGAGGAGCAAAAACUGAAGCAAGAACAAGAACAAGACGCAUGCUGUGGCCUAAAACAAAAAAGGCAAGGACCAAGAUAUCAGUUCCUUAAACAGAUACGCAGACAGGAAAACCUGGUAAGGUUAUCUGCCGACAGACUGAAUCAUACUUGCUUUGGAAUCAACAAACCAUUAAGGCCCAAAGGGCCAUAAGAAUGAAAAUGGAUUUUGUCUUCUGGAGAAAAAGGUUCUGAAGUGUGUAUGAAAAAGGCAUCCUCCGAAAUAGCACCCUUUAAAAAGCUGAUGGAAACACCAUGUCAGUAAUCACCCCUGAGGACAGUAUAUGCUAAGCGGGAAUCUAAUUAUAAAUAUAAAUAUAAGAAUUCACCUACAGAACAGAUGAAAUUUUAGAAUGAAUCCUGAGCGAGUUUUCUCUUUCUCAGGUAGUCUUUAAAAAGUGGGAUUUAUUCACAAUUUGCUGAGGUACAAGGACUUGUCUGAAGUUCAGAUAAUCUGUUUGAUAAUUAUUUUUUUCUUUUUUUUUUUGAGAUAGUCUUGUUCUGUUGCCCAGGCUGGAGUGC